GGCGAAACUCAACAGGUCUGGCAGGACUUAAUCUCGCUUUAUUUCCUGCAUGACAUCUUGGGGCUCCCCCGGCUUGUGCUGACAGCUCAUUCCCAAAAAAAUAUAAUAAUAGUGUGACUGCAACCCUUUCUCGGUGGGGAACAGCAGAGAGGGAAUUACAAAACCCAUUGUUCAGUGCGGAACGGACCUCUCUGUGAAUCGUAAAAGCGCUUGAGGAGAGAAACCGAGCUGUUAAAAUGUUCUGCAUCUUUUUCCUGGUGACCCUGUGGCCGAAUCCAGUUGUAUCUCACACUGCUCUGUUUAUACCUUCGGCUACUGUCCUCGGGCAAGAGGGAGGAUCAGCAACGCUAAAGUGUUCAAGUUCUAAUACGGAACUCCUUAUGAAAUGGGGCUAUGUCACCCCUGGCUCUUCAGAAACCAAAUGGCUCUUGUACUGGAGCCCGGGAAGGUCAAUCGCUGCUCGAAUGCCAGGGAUCGAGGCUCGAUUUUCCGAAUCCAGAGCCAGCAAAUACUCCUUAAAAAUCGAUAACUUGAGAGCGGAGGAUUCCGCCACCUAUUACUGUCAGAGCGGGGAGGAUGGAGCUGACUGGUGUGGCUGUGGGAUCACGCUGAAGGUGAAACCAAAUGGUUACAUUCAGGAGUCUGUGAUCCAGCUGAUCUCUCCUCGAUCCGAUGCUGUCUCUGCCAGGCAAAAUGUCACAGUGACCUGUUUGGUGUCAGAUUUUUACCCUGCCGAUAUUUCUGUGACUUGGAGAGAUGAGAAUGGUCCAGUGGAUACGGGAGUGACCCAGUUUGCAGUGGCUUUGGGCAGUACAGGCACCUACCGGACACUGAGCCAGCUGACUGUGCCGACAGCAGAGUGGGAGAGUAACCAUACUUACUGGUGUGAAGUGAACCAUGUGUCCCUGGUACAGACGCUACAGAGAGCGGUCACUAAGGAUCUGGUGAAAUCCAGUGGAUACCUGGCGGAUGUGUUGGAUACCCUGUGGAUUCCUGAGGCUGUGGGAUUUCUGAUUUUACUUAUUCUCGUUGUUAUCCUCAUCCACAAGAAAGCCACUUCUUCCUCCCGCAUUGGGGCCAGGAGAUACUGAGCUUGAACAUCAACCUCAAGUCACAGGAAACUUGGACAAGAGCUAUACUUACAGAUCACAGAGAGAUAUCAGCUUGUAUUGAUCUACAGGCAUUUUCAUAUUCCUCACUAUCAGCAGUAACACUUCGGGACCUGUGUUAGAUGUCAAUCAGUCCAUCACACUCAUGUCUCUAAGGCAAAAGGCUGUGUUCUCAAAUUUCAUUCCAGGACUCCUGCUCAGCAAUCCAAGCUGACAUGCCAUCACUGUUGGACUAUAACCUGGUGUUGUGUGAUAUUUAUCACUAUACUGAAAGCUACACUGUCAGAAGUCUAAUUGGAAAGUCAGUAAAGUAAACAGCUUUGGAGGCCUUGGCAUUUAUUUUUAAAAGUUGGAACAAUUGAAGCAUCCUGGCUGGGUGUGACCAGCUCUCACAGACCAGGAUUUCUAGCUUUUAGUUUGUUCGCUUUGAGAUUCAGUGUCAGUUGUUGUUGAAGUUGGGAGUAAAUGUCUCUCGGUCACUACUCUCUCUGAAUUUUUGCUAGAUAUUUUUUUCUCUCUGUCUGCUUCUGGAUUGCAUCUGAGAAAAUCUGUUUCCUGAAUUUGUCUUUUUGCCAAGGGGUGUGUUUUUGAGAUGUUACUAUAUUGUGUUAUGGACCAAGCCUGAUCCCUCAAAACAUUUCAAGAAGGUAGCCUAGACCUUAACUUUGCUACUUGGAUUUAAGCAAGUGUACAGUGAAUAGUCCAGAAGAGAAUUAGCUGGUCAAACUGUUUAGUUUUAAACAAAAACAGAAUUUAUUUACAAGAUUACUGAAUUAAACACACAGAACAGAAAACCGAAUACUGAAUAACUUAUCCUAUCCGAACCCAACAAACUAUCCCGACUUAAUGAUGCUGUUCCAAACUACUUGCAACAAUCCCACCAAACACCCCCUUGGCACAACAGGUAAAAAAUGAAAUAAAGGCUUACAAGUUCAAAGUCAGAAACCCAGCCCUUCUUCAAACACACUGCUGCUGAACUGGCCACUCCCCUUUCAUUGUACAAGUUGUUUUCUAAACUUGAAAGCCAUCUUCCUGAGGCAGUAUCUGUUAGCUAUAAACAAAUGGGUGCUAAAAUCUAUCAAAACUCUCAGAACCUCUCUGAACUUUCAUCUGAUAGUUACUGGAUCUAUUAUUUUGUUAAGUUUUUCAAUAGCGUGGUUAUUCUGAAUUCCUUUGUCUUUUGUUAUAUUAUAACU